rnacentral:rRNA from 1 species
GUCACACCCGUUCCCAUACCGAACACGGAAGUUAAGCUCUUCAGCGCCGAUGGUAGUUGGGGGUUCCCCCCUGUGAGAGUAGGACGUCGCCG